rnacentral:rRNA from 1 species
AAUCAACGCUGGCGGCGUGCCUAACACAUGCAAGUCGAGCGAGAAAAGGGGAGCAAUCCCCUGAGUACAGCGGCGCACGGGUGAGUAACACGUGGGUAAUCUGCCCUGGAGUGGGGAAUAACACCGGGAAACCGGUGCUAAUACCGCAUACGAUCACAGAGUCUGCGGAUUUUGUGAUGAAAGGAGCAAUUCGCUCUAGGAGGAGCCCGCGGCUGAUUAGCUAGUUGGUGAGGUAAUGGCUCACCAAGGCAACGAUCAGUAUCCGGUCUGAGAGGACGGUCGGACACACUGGAACUGAGAAACGGUCCAGACUCCUACGGGGGGCAGCAGUGGGGAAUUUUUGGCAAUGGGGGCAACCCUGACCAAGCAACGCCGCGUGGGUGAUGAAGUCUCUUGGGACGUAAAACCCUUUCGACGGGGACGAAAGCCGCAAGGUUUGACGGUACCCGUAGAAGAAGCCCCGGCUAACUCCGUGCCAGCCGCCGCCGUAACAC